rnacentral:tmRNA from 1 species
GGGGCUGAUUCUGGAUUCGACGGGAUUUGCGAAACCCAAGGUGCAUGCCGAGGGGCGGUUUACCUUCGUAAAAAGCCGCAAAAAAAUAGUCGCAAACGACGAAAACUACGCACUAGCAGCUUAAUAACCUGCUUAGAGCCCUCUCUCCCUAGCCUCCGCUCUUAGGACGGGGAUCAAGAGAGGUCAAACCCAAAAGAGAUCGCGUGAAUGCCUUGCCUGGGGUUGCAGCGUUAAACUUAAUCAGGAUAGUUUGUUAGUGGCGUGUCUGUCCGCAGCUGGCAAAUGAAUUUAAAGACUAGACUAAGCAUGUAGUACCGAGGAUGUAGAAAUUUCGGACGCGGGUUCAACUCCCGCCAGCUCCACCA